rnacentral:rRNA from 1 species
GUGGGGAAUAUUGGACAAUGGGGGCAACCCUGAUCCAGCAAUGCCGCGUGUGUGAAGAAGGUCUUCGGAUUGUAAAGCACUUUCGACGGGGACGAUGAUGACGGUACCCGUAGAAGAAGCCCCGGCUAACUUCGUGCCAGCAGCCGCGGUAAUACGAAGGGGGCUAGCGUUGCUCGGAAUGACUGGGCGUAAAGGGCGCGUAGGCGGCGGCGUAAGUCAGAUGUGAAAUUCCUGGGCUUAACCUGGGGGCUGCAUUUGAGACUGCGUUGCUAGAGGAUGGAAGAGGCUCGUGGAAUUCCCAGUGUAGAGGUGAAAUUCGUAGAUAUUGGGAAGAACACCGGUGGCGAAGGCGGCGAGCUGGUCCAUUACUGACGCUGAGGCGCGAUAGCGUGGGGAGCAAA